UCUCCUGUAGCUCAGUGGUAGAGCACCCAACCGGACUGUGCGGAAGGUCAUAGGUUUGACUCCUGUUGGAAGAA